AUUGAACGCUGGCGGCAGGCCUAACACAUGCAAGUCGAACGAGUGGCGGACGGGAGAGUAAUGUCUGGGAAACUGCCUGAUGGAGGGGGAUAACUACUGGAAACGGUAGCUAAUACCGAAUACCAUCAGAUGUGCCCAGAUUGGAUUAGCUAGUUGGUGGGGUAACGGCCCACCAAGACGCCGAUCCAUAGCUGGUCUGAGAGGCUGACCAGCCACACUGGAACUGAGACACGGUCCAAACACCUACGCGAGGCAGCAGUGAGUAAUAUUGGUCAAUGGGCGGUAGCCUGAACCAGCCAAGUAGCGUGAAGGAUGAAGGUCUAUGGGUCGUAAACUUCUUUAAUAGAAGAAGAUGUAUUAUAUGAAUAAGGAUCGGCUAACUCCGUGCCAGCAGCCGCGGUAAUAC
rnacentral:rRNA from 1 species